rnacentral:rRNA from 1 species
AGAGUUUGAUCCUGGCUCAGGACGAACGCUGACGGUGUGCUUUAGACAUGCAAGUCGAACGAGAAAGCCCUUCGGGGUGAGUACAGUGGCGAACGGGUGAGUAACACGUGGGCAAUCUGCCCCUCGCAGGGGGACAACCGGGGGAAACCCCGGCUAAUACCCCGUACGCUUGUUGAGUCGCAUGGCUCUUCAAGGAAAGGUAGCUUCGGCCAUCUGGCGAGGGAUGAGCCCGCGGUGCAUUAGCUAGUUGGUGAGGUAACGGCUCACCAAGGCGACGAUGCAUAGCUGGUCUGAGAGGAUGAUCAGCCACACUGGGACUGAGACACGGCCCAGACUCCUACGGGAGGCAGCAGUCGGGAAUCUUGCGCAAUGGGCGAAAGCCUGACGCAGCAACACCGUGUGGGCGAUGAAGGCCUUCGGGUCGUAAAGCCCUGUUGAUAGGGACGAAGGGCGAAGGGUUAAUAGCCCCUAGCCUGACGGUACCUUUCGAGGAAGCCCCGGCUAACUACGUGCCAGCAGCCGCGGUAAUACGUAGGGGGCGAGCGUUGUCCGGAUUUAUUGGGCGUAAAGAGCGUGUAGGCGGUUCGGUAAGUCUGUCGUGAAAUCCUGGGGCUCAACCCCGGGCGUGCGAUGGAUACUGCCGGGCUAGAGGAUGGUAGAGGCGAGUGGAAUUCCCGGUGUAGCGGUGAAAUGCGCAGAUAUCGGGAGGAACACCAGUAGCGAAGGCGGCUCGCUGGGCCAUUCCUGACGCUGAGACGCGAAAGCUAGGGGAGCGAACAGGAUUAGAUACCCCAGUAGUCC